CCUACGGGAGGCAGCAGUGGGGAAUAUUGGACAAUGGGGGGAACCCUGAUCCAGCCAUGCCGCGUGUGUGAAGAAGGCCCUCGGGUUGUAAGGCACUUUCAGUGAGGAAGAACGCCUGGUGGUUAAUACCCAUCAGGAAAGACAUCACUCACAGAAGAAGCACCGGCUAACUCCGUGCCAGCAGCCGCGGUAAUACGGAGGGUGCGAGCGUUAAUCGGAAUUACUGGGCGUAAAGCGCGCGUAGGUGGCUUGAUAAGCCGGUUGUGAAAGCCCCGGGCUCAACCUGGGAACGGCAUCCGGAACUGUCAAGCUAGAGUGCAGGAGAGGAAGGUAGAAUUCCCGGUGUAGCGGUGAAAUGCGUAGAGAUCGGGAGGAAUACCAGUGGCGAAGGCGGCCUUCUGGACUGACACUGACACUGAGGUGCGAAAGCGUGGGUAGCAAACAGGAUUAGAUACCCCUGUAGUC
rnacentral:rRNA from 1 species